GAGGAUAAGAGCUCAGUGGUAGAGCAUGUGCUUAGCAUGCAUGAUGUCCUGGGUUCAAUCCCCAGUACCUCCA
rnacentral:tRNA from 1 species